GGGGAUUUAGCUCAGUGGUAGAGCACUUGCCUAGCAAGGGAAAGGCCCUGGGUUCGGUCCCCAGCUCCG
rnacentral:tRNA from 1 species